GCUAGUAAUCGCGAAUCAGAAUGUCGCGGUGAAUACGUUCCCGGGCCUUGUACACACCGCCCGUCACACCAUGGGAGUCGGAUAUGCCCGAAGUCAGUGACCCAACCUUUUGGAGGGAGCUGCCGAAGGUGGAGCCGAUAACUGGGGUGAAGUCGUAACAAGGUAAC
rnacentral:rRNA from 1 species